rnacentral:lncRNA from 1 species
CUUUUAUUUUAGAAUAACAUUACUACUCCCAUAAGUAUUUGAAUAUGUACAGACUGCAAAACCACAUUCUCAUCCAUGAAAUAAACACCUGCUCUUUCACAGUUUUUUCAAGAAAAGAAAGUUGCUGUCUGAAUUGUUAGGGGACAAAAGGGAAAGCAGAAAACACAAGAGAAAGUUCAAUGGGAUGAAUGAAGUCUAACAGAACCUAAGAGGAAGCAGAAGAGGCCAAC